ensembl:misc_RNA predicted gene, 27402
AAUUCACCUGUAUUUGAGUAACUGUUGUAUGAUAGAUAUGUAGCUAAGGGUCACGUUCAGUCUCUGGAUAUUAAGCACAUUUUUGUCUCUAAAAAACGAUUCACGCUGUUUAUACCAG